UGUUGUUGCAUCAGCCGUGUCGGUUGGAUGUGCGUGGUUACGCUGUGGAUAUUUUUGGACAUUUUCGGUGUUUUACACCGUUCUCUAAGUUGUUAGAGGAAAAAUAGAAGAGAUCAGAGAAAUAAGAGUAAAAGGAGAAGAAGUGAAUGUGCCCGCAAAAAUCGGCUAACGGUUAUGGGCACGUUAAAAUAAUGACAUAAAAAAAAAAAAAAAAACAGCAGCUGUCAAGUGUUUUUCUCGCAAUGUUCUCUCCCAUUACGUCAAAAUCCACAUAAAAGUUCUCCAUGCAGCUUGCAUCAAGGUAGAUGUAAACAUCGUGUAAAUCUAGAAAACAUUACAGUACGGCGCGUUGUGGCAUACUUUCCAUAUGCUCAAAAGUUCAUCAAACCACAAAUGAUGCCCGACAGAAUGAUGCUGGGGACGUAAUU